UUGUGGUUGUGUUGCUGUGUCUACUUUGCGCUUGGUGCUUGAUGUUCGGUAUUGGGUGCUCCGUUGCCGAUAUCGUUGAAAAAAUUUGUGUUCACCACCAUAACAUGUGUACCAGUAUAUGUGAAUGUGAAUGUUAUGUCUUAAAAAGAUGUUACGCGGUGAGGGGAGUGAGAAAAAUUAAGAAAAUAAAAUCCAGGUGUAUGUAGGAAAUGAAAAUUUCGAUUUUGUUUGCCACUACAGCUGUCAUCAGAAUAAAAUCUAAGUGAAGAAAAAUAGCUGAAAAUGUUGAUUGCGCACGAUUGAUAAUAAUUAACAUCAGACCUCUUCAAAUGUAUUAUAUGCCUGAUUGUCCAGCUUAUUGUUUGGUAUAGAUUAAAUACACACUCUUGCCCUAAAGAAAUGUGAGAUGUUUGAUAGCUACUGCUUGCGGUGGCCAAUUUCUCCAUCACUUAACUACGGUUAUGUACAAAAUAUUUAUGUAUGUAUAAAUGUGUCAAUAUAUUUGUACGUCAAUGACGACGUCAGCUAUAGCGCCGCCGCAACGACAACCGCGCAUCAUAGAAAUCGAUAAUUUUUAUAUUCCUGCCGCUGUUGAUGAAAUUGCCUUGCAUUUCCUCAUAGGCCCACCAUUCCCACCCUCUCUGGAACUUUCGAUUUUUCCAAACAUACUUUUUAAACUUUACUGACACUUGUAUUAAUUAAUUUCUCACUGGUAAUUUUUUUUUUUGACUGUCGGCAAGUGUAGAUAUUAUUUCUAACUGUUGUUUAUGAUGUAAAGCAUAUUUGUUUAUUCAUAGUGUCCUAAUUGAUUUAGCGUACAUGUUGAGCUAUUAGGGUUAAUGGCUCAAUUUGCUAGAAGACGGGGGAAAAUUGCACUUAAUUGUUGAUCGCCUAUAAUAUCGUGUAAUAUUGGCUUAAUACAAAAAUAAUGGCUGUAGCAACCUUUAUUACACUCAUUUGUAUAAAAUCGAUUGUAUCGCAAGUAAUUUUAGUGAUUUUCAGUAUAAAGUAUAGUAUAAAUAUGCACGGUUAAUCCUCUCUACAUAUUUUAGUUCAAGAUUUUUUGGCUAAAGUGUUUACUUAACACGAAAUGAAAAUUUUCCAGAAUUGAAAAGUAACUUAUUUCGUUUGUCCUUAAAAAGGUUUUUCUAAACAAAAGCUGGUAAAAAAUGUUUGAGCCUAAGAAACGAAUUAUGUCAUUAUAGGCAAUAUAAUAUACCUACUACAUAUUUUCCAUUCUUUGGACUAUGAAAGCUAUAUAUUUCCUGCCACAUCACUUUUUCAUUAGGUAUUCUCGUUGUGCCAUCUUAUGAUAGGCCUUAGAUCUGUACUGAUCCGAUUGAGUUGAAGAGUCAGAGAGAAAGUCAUUAAGAAUUAAUUGAAGGAGUGUAGUUAGUUUCAUCCAUAUACAUACGUUCAUAAACAAAAUAUUUGAUGACUAUGUCUGGGUCAGUUCGGGAUAUGAACGGGUUUAAUCUACAGAACUUCAACAUUUUGAUAGUUUGGCGUUGCUUGCUUUAUAGGCCUGUCACAGUAGGUUCCAAGACCAGUUUAAGGUGUUAGCAAUUGUACAAAAGCAAAAAGCUGCAUGUAUUUUGUUUUUGUUCUUUGGGCUCAAAUAUCAAAAUGCUUAUUUCCAAGGCGAAUUAGUUGAAUAAAGAUUCCUGAGCGAUGAGCAAAAAGUUUGAAGCUUGUAAUUUGCAACAGUGGAGGAUAUGGAACAGCAAAAA